rnacentral:lncRNA from 1 species
GGAGCCUCUCUCCUCCUGCAGGGUGGGGUGGGAAGGUGAAACCUGGGAGGCUGCUCUGCCCCCAUCCCACCCACCCACUGGCUUCUGAGGCAUCCCCGAGGAGAGCUCUGGGUGACUCCUAGCCCCUUGCUUUGCAUCCUUCUGUGGCUCUCACUGCCUGCAGACCCAAUUUUCAAACCCCAUCUCCUUUCUUUUCUUUCUUGCCUUUUUUUUUUUUUUUUUUUUUUGGUAAUAGGCUGGGCGCAAUGUAAUCCCAGCACUUUGGGAGGCCAAGGUGGGUGGAUCACCUGAGGUCAGGAGUUUGAGACCACCCUGGCCAACAUGGUGAAACCCCAUCUCUACUAAAAAUACAAAAAUUAGCUGGGCAUGGUGGCACAUGCCUUUAAUCCCAGCUACUUGGGAGGCUGAGGUAGGAGAACUGCUUGAACCAGGGAGUUGGAGGUUGCAGUGAGCCAAUAUCGCGCCACUGCACUCCAGCCUGGCAACAGAGUGAGGCUCCGUCUCAAAAAAAAAAAAAAAAAUACAGACAGCAUCUUACUCUGUUGCCCAGGCUGGAGUGCAGUGGCACGAUCAUAGCUCACUGAAACCUUCACUUCCUGGGCUUAAGCGAUCCUCCCGCCUUGACCUCCCCAGUAACUGGGACUACAGGUGCACACCAGCACGCCCAGCUAACAUUUUAUUUUUUGUAGAGAUGGAGUCUCACUAUGUUGCCCAGGCUGGUCACACAUUCUUGGGCUCAAGCGAGCCUCCCACCUUGGCUUCCCAAAGAGCUGGGAUUACAGGAGUGAGCCACUGCCCCUGGCUCCCAUUACCAUUCUUGUAAGUUGGCACUCCUUUUUCCAAAUGAGGUCUGGCCAGGAUGCCCAAGUGCAUGGCAAAUGAGCACAGUGAUACUCUAGGGGAAGCAGGCAGAGUCCUGGCCACCCUGUCCCACCCAGCCCCAUGGCCAGGUCUUUGUUAAGACAGCUAGCUAAGGCCAGGUACAGUGGCUCAUGCCUGUAAUCCCAGCACUUUGGGAGGCCGAGGUGGGCAGAUCACUUGAGGUCAGGAGUUCAAGACCAGCCUGGCCAACAUGGUGAAAUUCCAUCUCUAUUAAAAAUACAAAAAUUAGCCAGGCGUGGUGGUGGGCGCCUAUAAUCCAAGCUAUUCAGAAGGCUGAGGCAGGCACAAGAAUCCCUUGAACCCGAGAGGCAGAGGUUGCAGUGAGCCGAGAUUGCACCACCGCACUCCAGCCUGGGCAACAGAGUGAGACCUCAUCUUAAAAAAAAAAAAAAUAAUAGAAAUAAAAAGCUGGCUCCUAAGACCUCCACAGCCCAGGCCCUCCCCAGCCUCCAGGCCUGGUCACCUCCUUAGAGAAGCCCACCAGCCCUGCUCAUGCCCUCCCUAGAAUGUGAUCUGUUGGAAGACAGGGACCAAGUCCAGAAUCUACUGAUGGUUUUGGUUCAGAGAAGCUGCCCAAUAAUAUUAUGUGGAAGAAAUGAGUGACCAGAAGCAUUAACAAAUUUAGCAAUGGAACCAGAGUCUUCUGGUGGCCCAAUAGAGGUAUGGAGUUGAGCUAACUCUGCUUUCGGAACUGUCCUGGUCAUAGAAAGAAUGUUUCCAAAGCUUUCCAUCCUUAGACCAGGACAAACGUGGGAACUGUCCCUAAGGUGUGACAUUGAGAUGCCCUUUGGGAGGCAUGUGCCAGGGAUGAACCCGGCUGACUAGCCAGACCCUAGGACUGGCCCUCACAAGUCCAUUGCCUGGGGGUGGGGGAAGGUUGGACAUCCCCAUCCCAGGGGCAGGAACAGUGACAUGGGAGUUACCCCAGGUCACGCGGGCCAGGACGGGUCUCAAGGACGCUGCGGAGACCACACCAAGCAGGGAUGGACCCAGCCCGGCCCCAGCUGUGCAGAUCCUCCCGUUUACAGACAAGCGGAUGCAACGGAACUCCAAGGGGUCAAGGUCAUUUGCUGGUUGCCCCCCAGCUCAUCUGAUUCCAGCACAGGUGUAGCGGGUUGAACGGUGGCCCACCAAAAAGAUAUAUUCCCUGGGACCUGUAAAUGCUGACUUAUUUAGGAAAUGGGUCUUUGCAGAUGUAAUUAAGAGUCUUGAGAUGAGAUCACCUUGGAUUAAGGUGGCCUCAAAUCCAAUGACAAAUAUCUUUAAAAAAUUUUUUUUGGCUGGGCACGGUGGCUCACGCCUGUAAUCCCAGCACUUUGUGAGGCCGAGGCAGGUGGAUCAUGAGAUCAGGAGAUCGAGACCAUCCUGGCUAACAUGGUGAAACCCCAUCUCUACUAAAAAUACAAAAAAUUAGCUGGGCGUGGUGGCGAGCGCCUGUAGAUCCAGCUACUCAGGAGGCUGAGGUGGAAGAAUGGCAUGAACCUGGGAGGCGGAGCUUGCAAUGAGCCGAGAUCGCGCCACUGUACUCCAGCCUGGGCAACAGAGCGAGACUCCAUCUCAAAAAGGGAAAACAAACAAACAAACAAACCCAUCUCUACUAAAAAUACAAAAAUAGCCAGGCAUGGUGGCCCAUGCCUGUAAUCCCAGCUACUUGGGAGGCUGAGGCAGGAGAAUCCUUGAACCCGGGAGGCAGAGGUUGCAGUGAACUGAGAUCGCUCCAUUGCACUCCAGCCUAGGCAAUAAGAGCGAAACUUCGUCUCAAAAAAAAAAAAUUUGUAUUAGAGACAGAGGUUUCACUGUUACUCAGUGUUACUCAGGCUGGAGUGUAGUGGCUAUUCAUAGGCACAAUCCCACUGCUGAUCGGCACGGGAGUUUUUGUUUGUUUUUAAAACAAUCUCAUACUGUCACCCAGGCUGGAGUGCAGUGGUGCAAUCUUAACUCACUGCAACCUCCACCUUCCAGGUUCAAGCGAUUCUCCUGCCUCAGCCUCCCGAGUAGCUGGGAUUACAGGCACGUGCCAUGGUGCCUGGCUGAUUUUUGUACUUUUAGUAGAGAUAAGCUUUUGCCAUAUUGGCCAGGCUGGUC